rnacentral:tRNA from 1 species
GAGGGUACAACUCAGUGGUAGAGCCCAUGCUUAGUAUGCAUGAGGUCCUGGGUUCAAUUCCCAGUACCUCCA